rnacentral:misc_RNA from 2 species
CUGCGAGUUCGCGGGAGAGUAAGUUAUUGCCAGGGUUUUUAUUUUAUACUUUAAACAUUGAUUUUAUUUUUUAUGUUUUUAGAUGUUCAUGUUUUUGAAUGUUUUAUUUAAAUAAUAUAAAAAAUAAAAUAUAUAUUGACAUGGAUUAAACAAAGAUAUAUAUUAUUCUAUGUUGCAUAAGCAAAUUGGCAAAAUAGAGAUGGAAGAUAAAAAUAUGGUCAAAGUAAUAAGAGUCUAUGGUGAAUGCCUAGGA